ensembl:misc_RNA Metazoa_SRP Metazoan signal recognition particle RNA
GCUGGGCGUGGUGGCGUGCGCCUGUAGUCCCAGCUACUCAGGAGGCUGAGACAGGAGAAUUGCUUGAACCCAGGAGGCAGAGGUUGCAGUGGGCCGAGAUUGUGCCACUGCACUCCAGCCUGGGUAACAAGAGUAAGACUCUGUCUCAA